CCUGCCCUUGACUCUGGGAUAAGCCUGGGAAACCGGGUCUAAUACUGGAUACGACCUUCUGGCGCAUGCCAUGUUGGUGGAAAGCUUUUGUGGUUUUGGAUGGACUCGCGGCCUAUCAGCUUGUUGGUGGGGUAAUGGCCUACCAAGGCGACGACGGGUAGCCGGCCUGAGAGGGUGACCGGCCACACUGGGACUGAGACACGGCCCAGACUCCUACGGGAGGCAGCAGUGGGGAAUAUUGCACAAUGGGCGCAAGCCUGAUGCAGCGACGCCGCGUGAGGGAUGAAGGCCUUCGGGUUGUAAACCUCUUUUCAGUAGAAGAAGCUGGCCUUUCGGGGUUGGUGACGGUACCUGCAGAAGAAGCGCCGGCUAACUACGUGCCAGCAGCCGCGGUAAUACGUAGGGCGCAAGCGUUAUCCGGAAUUAUUGGGCGUAAAGAG
rnacentral:rRNA from 1 species